rnacentral:rRNA from 1 species
CCUACGGGUGGCAGCAGUGAGGAAUAUUGGGCAAUGGGCGAGAGCCUGAACCAGCCAAGUCGCGUGAGGGAGUACUGCCCUAUGGGUUGUAAACCUCUUUUGUCGGGGAGCAAAAGCCGGACGUGUCCGGCUGUGAGAGUACCCGAAGAAAAAGCAUCGGCUAACUCCGUGCCAGCAGCCGCGGUAAUACGGAGGAUGCGAGCGUUAUCCGGAUUUAUUGGGGUAAAAGGGUGCGCAGGCGGAUUUUUAAGUCAGCGGUCAAAUCGUGGGGCUCAACCCCAUCCAGCCGUUGAAACUGGGGAUCUAGAGUGUGCGAGAGGUAUGCGGAAUGCGUGGUGUAGCGGUGAAAUGCAUAGAUAUCACGCAGAACCCCGAUUGCGAAGGCAGCAUACCGGUGCACAACUGACGCUCAGGCACGAAAGCGUGGGUAUCGAACAGGAUUAGAUACCCCUGUAGUC